rnacentral:rRNA from 1 species
UACGUAGGGUGCGAGCGUUGUCCGGAAUUAUUGGGCGUAAAGAGCUUGUAGGCGGUUUGUCGCGUCUGCUGUGAAAAUCCGGGGCUCAACUCCGGACUUGCAGUGGGUACGGGCAGGCUAGAGUGAUGUAGGGGAGACUGGAAUACCUGGUGUAGCGGUGAAAUGCGCAGAUAUCAGGAGGAACACCGAUGGCGAAGGCAGGUCUCUGGGCAUUAACUGACGCUGAGGAGCGAAAGCAUGGGGAGCGAACAGG